ACACUUCCUGUGAGGCCUCGGCAGCGGCGGCGGAGCAGCCUGGUGGUUGGAGAGAGCUUCCGAGAAGCCGUGGUGGGUUUCGCGUGACAGUGGAGGAGGAGGCGAGUCUCGGCUUUUGUGGCUUUGCCCGCCCAGCUGCUCUGUGCCAGGAGGAGGAGGAGACACCUGGAGCCUGUGACACCACGGCUUGCCUCGCUGAGGGUGGGUGGCAGUGACGGAGACUGCAGCGUGCUGGAACGGCUUUUGUGGCUUUGCCCGCCCAGCUGCUCUGUGCCAGGAGGAGGAGGAGACACCUGGAGCCUGUGACACCACGGCUUGCCUCGCUGAGGGUGGGUGGCAGUGACGGAGACUGCAGCGUGCUGGAACGGGAUAUCAGACAUUAAUGAACCAGUUAAGAAGAUACUGGGAUGCAGAAGAACUUUCCCAGUGUCCCGGGAGCCGUUCUACACAACAUCCUACACCAUGGCUUUGGAUCUGCUGUGCUUCAUUUCUUUACUUGUGAAAACAGAGUAACAGUAGCACCUGCCUCACAGGAUGGUUCUGAAGAUUAGAGGGUUCUUUCAUGCAGAGCUCUAGAGCAGCUUGAAUGGUAUUGAUUUACCUUUUUCAGAGGUUAAUUUUUCUGGAGGCUUUAUUCACUUGGAUUCACAUUGGUUGGAAGAAUGCAUGAGACCAGAUUUGUUGGUAGUACUGACACAGUAAUUGCUGUUGGCUUCCUGGUGAUGGAAAUGAGCUUCUUUGCAGCUGCUCUGGGAGCUCCCAGUCUUAUUGAUGAGAAAUAGUACCAGAAACCAACUAGCCUGGUACCUGUAUCAGUCAGAGUCCAGGCAGGAAACAGAAACCACUGCAAUCAUUUUAACAGAAAGAAUUUAAUAUAAACAAUUACCAAAGGGCAUCGAAUAAUUGAAAGAUAAACAGAGAGAAUUAAAGUAUUAUAGAAGGGUGCAACAGCAGGAAUUAACUACCAGCUCCUGGGUUGAGAAACAAAGGCAAAUAAUGGAAUUAUCACAAUUUAGAAGUUUGGAGGAGGAUCUCUCUGGGGGUGGAACCCAUGAACUUGAGGGGGUGGAAACAGACAAUUUGCCCUGAUGCCUCUUAGUGAAUGCAAGCUCGAUUUAACUGAAUUCAAAUUCUGCUACUGGAACAACAACUGCUUCUGAUUUAACUGAAGCAGUUAACUGCAAGCUAGAUUUAACUGAAUUCAAAUUCUGCUACUGGGACAACAACUGCUUCUGAUUUAACUGAAGCAGUUAACUGCAAGCUAGAUUUAACUGAAUUCAAAUUCUGCUACUGGAACAACAACUGCUUCUGAAGUCAUUGCUAAGAUGAUGCUUAUAGUAACGGAAAACCGAAAGGAAACAGACCUCAGUGAACAUCUUUCUUUUCCUCUGGCAGAAUUUAACGGGGAGCAGAGGGCAAAGCAGAAAGGUGGUUCACAGAGCCUGAGAUUGAUCAUAAUAUUGAAAGACACAGUCCUACAGGCUAUAUUCCCAAAUGUUGAAACCUCAAAGAUCAAAAUCUCUAAAGUUUAAAAUUCCUUGUGUAAAAUCCUGAUAAUCACAGUGAUAAGACAGUUGCAUCAUGUUAGGCGGAGCUAUUACCUUGUUAUUGUCCUUACACAGAAGAAAAUGGAUUUCAAUUGAAUCCCCAAACCAUAAUGACAGAUUUGGAACUAGGAAUGACUAAAGCUGCUGAAAGAGAAUGUGAAAGUAUUACCAGUAAGGUGUGUUUUUUCCAUUCAGCCCAAAGCAUUUGGCAGAAAAUUCCGAUGAAUUGAUUGAUCAUGAUCUAUAGCAAUGACAAAAACUUCAGUUAAAAAAUGCAUCAUUUGCCCGCAUUGACAUUCCUUUCAGCAGAUGACAUUUCAGGAACUUUUAAUAAAUUAAAGCCACAUUUGUUGAGGAAGCCAGCAAAGCUACUGGCUGGUUCAAAAAUAAUUAUAUGCAUGGUAGGAUAAGACACUUAUGCAGUGGUGUUACUAUUCGAUCACUAGUAUUAUUUCUGCCAAAUUUAUGGUCUAUGUAUAAAUGCAUGUAGAAUGGAUUUCUACAUACCCAAAACAACAUAGAAGCAUGACACGGAAGGUAGGAAGAUUUAAUAGGGAAUGUUUGUUUUGGUGUAUAUGGAAUCAUAGAAGAAUUUUGAAAAGAGCAGCACCAUGUAGAAAAUGAAUAUUCUCUGAGGAAGGCCAAGUCCUAAAAGAAAAAAAGCAGUUGUUCAUUGUGAUACAAGGCUUCAAUGUAUAUUUAAUCAUCAUGAAAUCCAGCCAUCCCUUAGUGAACUGUCUCCAUGCAAUUGCCCAUAAUCUUUCCCUGUAAUACACUAUUUCAUAUGUCAGAUUUCCUUUUUAGUUUUUCCUUUUCUUUUUCUCACUAUUUUAAAUUGUCAAAAUAUCUCUUACAAUUUGCUAUGCUACAUAUUUUAUCUUGCAUUAUUUUCAAUACUGGAAAUAUAUGUUAUGUAAGGACUUUUAGAGAGUUCUAAUUUGUUUUAUGCAUUUUUUUUUUUUUUGCAAAUUUGACUUCAUGAAAGUGCUUUAUCACAAUGUGACUUUGUUUGCAAUCUUUGUGUAUGUAUGUAAAAAUGUUGGAACUUCCUCAAUAAAUGAAGAUAUGUCCAUACAUCUGCGUUUGUGUAAGAAACAAUUUCUCAAAAUCUUGGCUCUUCAGACAGCUGCAUAUGUGGUUGUGAUUCAUCACAAUUUUUUCUGAUCAAAAGACUUGGGUUUUUAGUCAUGGUAUUUCAGAUGACUGUUGCUAUAAAGCUGGGUAUACACAUUACCAACUAUAGUGAUAUGUGUUUAUACAUUUCAAUUUUUGACCCACAGUUCACCUGCUCAUAACAGCCAUACCCAUGUGACUGUCAUUGGUAUACCUGAGUGUUUAUGCUUGCAAAAAUAUGUAUGUUAUUUUGACUACUUUAUUGUGUAAAGUGAUCUAUGAAGUGUUUUGUCAUGUUUUUAUAUGUUUCUCAAAUAAAUCCCCUUUAAAAUGCAAAUAAAUAUCUUUUAAAUAAUUUUAAAA